rnacentral:rRNA from 1 species
AACGAACGCUGGCGGCAGGCUUAACACAUGCAAGUCGAGCGCAGGAAGUCGACGGAACCCUUCGGGGGGAAGUCGACGGAAUGAGCGGCGGACGGGUGAGUAACACGUAAAGAACCUGCCCUCAGGUCUGGGAUAACCACGAGAAAUCGGGGCUAAUACCGGAUGGGUCAUCGGACCGCAUGGUCCGCGGAUGAAAGGCGCUCCGGCGCCGCCUGGGGAUGGCUUUGCGGUGCAUUAGCUAGUUGGUGGGGUAAUGGCCCACCAAGGCGACGGUGCAUAGCCGACCGGAGAGGGGGAUAGGCCACACUGGGACGGAGACACGGCCCAGACUCCUACGGGAGGCAGCAGUAGGGAAUCUUCCACAAUGGACGAAAGUCUGAUGGAGCAACGCCGCGUGAACGAGGAAGGCCUUCGGGUCGUAAAGUUCUGUUGUAAGGGAAGAACAAGUGCCGCAGGCAAUGGCGGCACCUUGACGGUACCUUGCGAGAAAGCCACGGCUAACUACGUGCCAGCCGCCGCCGUAAAAC